rnacentral:rRNA from 1 species
GACGAACGCUGGCGGCGUGCCUAAUACAUGCAAGUCGAACGCAGUGGGGACGGGUGAGUAACACGUGGGUAACCUCCCAUCAGAGGUGAUAACACUUGGAAACAGGUGCUAAACCGAUACUGAUGGAUGGACCCGCGGUGCAUUAGCUAGUUGGUGAGGUAACGGCGCUCCCAGGCCACGAUGCAUAGCCGACCUGAGAGGGGGAUACGCCACACGUGAACUGAGACACGGCGCAGACUCCGACGGGAGGCAGCAGUAGGGAAUCUUCGGCAAUGGACGAAAGUCUGACCGAGCAACGCCGCGUGAGUGAAGAAGGGUUUCGGAUCGUAAAACUCUGUUGUUAGAGAAGCGGUAUCUAACCAGAAAGCCACGGCUAACUACGUGCCAGCAGCCGCGGUAAUUC